GGUUUAGUGGUAGAGCGCGCUUCCUCGGAUAGAAUCAAACGCGGGUUCGAUUCCCGCCUGCGGCC